rnacentral:lncRNA from 10 species
GAAGGGCUGAGAGCCUUCCCCUUGCCAAUCAGCCAUGCAGCCAAUGCACAGUUGCUAACUUCAGCCUCAGUGCGAGUCCCUCGUGCCAGGUCAUCAGCCAGGCAGUGGAAAUAUCACCGUCAGGCCCAGGCUUCCUGCAAGUCCUGCUCCAGCAGUUAUGAAUAAGAGCAUCAGGGCUCAUUUUGGCUCAUAAAGGGAGCACAGUGAAAGAAAAAACCACUACUGCCUAUGAAAUCUAACAGAUACAAGGUACAAUUCUGGAGUAACAUGUUGCUACAGUUAAGCCUGCUUUGAGUAGAAAUGCUCACACCAUGGGCUCAAAAGAAUCAGGGCAGAGUUUGCCCUGCAACUCUCCCUGCAGCCACAAGGAUGCGGAUCACAGCCGUGAGCCACAGCCAUGGCUCCACGUCUCUGCCGGAGCGGCCUGGACAGACACACAACUUGGGAACACAAUGACUUGUCUCAAACGUGGUAACUGUUAUCUUGUACCCAAGUGGAAAACUGCACUGCCUAUCCCAUGUCCUCUGAGCUAUCAGAUUGCAGCCUUGCCCAUUAUCUCCCAGCUAUUCUGAAACUCUUUGUGAA